UUAUUUUAACUGAACCAGAUCCUAGGGAUGAUCUGUCUGGAACAGAUGUUGAAAGAAAGGUGAUAAUUUUUGUCCGGGAAUCUGUCUUGAAAGUGGAGCUUUCUGAUAUACCUGUUCAAAGUCUGGUUCCAAAGCCACUAAGUGCUACUUCAUCUGCUGAAGAUUUUAUGAAGCAAUUACCUCGGUUUAACAAAGAUUUGGCUACCGAGAGACAGGAAGUUGAGGAAUCAGGGGAAGUGAGU